GUUAACAGGGACAUCUAGAUAGCCACAGUCUACCGGUCUCAGUGCUAAAUACCCUAGAGGUUGCCAAAGGUCCAGAAGACGUUGCUGGCUAUUGUUACCAUUAUUGAUCGCAGUUUGUUACUUGGAUAAAAGGUUGAUCCAUCUAGUAAUGUGUUCACCGCCCAGCUUCAUCAUCAAGAACAUAGAAAUUAUGUAAAUUGUGUAUCAGCGCUAUUAUAGGAUGGAGGAUGCCUUGUGGGAGAAGUCAACGAACAUGGGGAGAUGACUGGUGAGAAGAUUGCUUAUGUUUACCCAGAUGAAAAUACUGCCCUCUGUGGAAAGUUUAUUGAUGGAGAAAAGUUAGAGGCAAAAUUGGCUACUGUUGCAUCUGUGGAGGAAGGAAAGCCAUACUUUGAGAUUGUCACUGGUAGUAAUAUUUAUACAUUUGAUAAGUCUACUUCAUCCUGCAUUUCUACAAGUCCUUUGCUUCCGGAUCCCUAUGAAAUGGAAAGGUGAGUGUAAUAUGUCAAAUAUGUAUAUGAGGUACUAUGAUUUAUAGCUUGCUAAAUAUAGUUGUGUGCAUACACUGGCAGAAUUUUUAAAGUGAGUUCCAUUUUUAGAAAACCUAAAUGAUCCAGCAGACCACCCAUCAUAAAAGGGGUGGGUUAUCCCUCAAAAAAUAUUGGGAUUAGUUAAAUGGUCACUGUUCAAAAAAUAAUAAUAAUAAUAAUUUCAUUUACCAAUAAUGACUAACUUAGAAAAACACCUCUAAAGUUUUGGCCAUUAGGUGUCUCAUUUCUGGGGCAGUAAACAGGCAUACAGCCUCCAGCCAUACUCUGUAUAUGGCUGAAGGCUGUAUGUCUGUGGGGGAACUGUACUGCACCUAAUGUGGGGAACUGUACUGCAUCUAAUGUGGGGAACUAUACUGCACCUAAUGUGGGUAAAGUGUACUGCACCUAAUGUGGGUGAACUGUGUGGCACCUAAUGUGGGGGAACUGUAGUGCACCUUAUGUGGGGGAACUGUACUGCUCCUAAUGUGGGGAACUGUACUGCACCUAAUAUGAGGAACUGUACUGCACCUAAUGUGGGGGAACUAUACUGCACCUAAUGUGGGGAACUAUACUGCACCUAAUGUGGGGACUAUACUGCACCUAAUAUGGGGUAACUAUACUGCACCUAAUGUGGGAACUAUACUGCACCUUAUGUGGGGACUAUACUGCACCUAAUGUGGGGUAACUAUACUGCACCUAAUGUGGGGAACUAUGCUGCACUUAAUGUGGGGGAACUGUACUGUACCUAAUGUGGAGAACUAUACUGUACCUAAUGUGGGGGAAAUAUACUGCACCUAAUGUGGGGGAACUAUACUACGCCUAAUGUGGAGAACUAUACUGCACCUAAUGUGGAGAACUAUACUGCACCUAAUGUGGGGGAACUGUACUGUGCCUAAUGUGGUGGAAACUAUACUGCACUUAAUAUUGGGGAACUGUACUGCACCUAAUGUGGAGGAACUGUACUGAACCUAAUGUGGGGGAACUGUACUGCAACUAAUGUGAGGGAACUAUACUGCACCUAAUGUGGAGGAACAAUACUGCACCUAUUGUGGGGACUAUACUGCACCUAAUGUGGGGGAACUAUACUGCACCUAAUGUGGGGGAACUGUACUGCACCGAAUGUGGGGGAACUGUACUGCACCUAAUGUGGGGGAACUAUACUGCACCUAAUGUGGGGAAACUGUACUGCACCUAAUGUGGGGAAACUAUACCGCGCCUAAUGUGGGGAACUGUACUGCACCUAAUGUGGGGGAACUAUACUGCACCUAAUGUGGGGAACUGUACCAACAUAAUGAAGUUCUCCGUCUUCCAGGCAGCCUUAAUCUGGCCCUGGUUAUAAUACUGUAGAUGAACUAUU